rnacentral:SRP_RNA from 1 species
GCUGGGCAUGGUGGCACAUGCCUGUAAUCCCAGCUACUUGGGAGGCUGAGACAGGAGAAUUGCUUGAACCUGGGAGGCAGAGGUUGCAGUGAGCCAAGGUUGCGCCACUGCACUCUAGCCUGGGUGACAGAGCAAGACUCUGUCUCAA